rnacentral:tRNA from 1 species
UCCCUGGUGGCUCAGAGGUUAAAGCAUCUGCCUGCCAUGCGGAAGACUCGGGUUCGAUCCCUGGGUCGGGAA